rnacentral:tRNA from 1 species
GUCCCCGUAGCUCAGUGGAUUAGAGCGGCUGCCUUCUAAGCAGUAGGUCGCAGGUUCGAAUCCUGCCGGGGACGCCA